AGUGUCAUAUGUGCAAAAUUUGAAGAAUUUUCCCCAUCUACCCACGAUGCAAAUGCAAUCGCAACAUAGAUGCGCCACUUGUUGGCCACGACGCUUUAUCGUUGCCAAUCGCGUUGCGAGAGGCCGAGAGAAAUGGCCAACUGCAAUGAUGAUGGUCAACAGCGAUGGCCCUGUGACGUGACCACGCCAAAAAGACCAAGAACCACAUGCCUGCCCCCGAUGAUGAUGCCAAAUAGCUGAUAGGCAAAGCCAACAAUCCCGGCCAACAGGCAUUUUUCUGCGCCUACUUACAGUUUUCCACUACGAAAAACUAAUGAUAAGAUUCAAGUGAAGAUACAAAUUCAAUGUAAACAAUUUAGCAUACAAAAC
ensembl:ncRNA lncRNA:CR44543 long non-coding RNA:CR44543